rnacentral:rRNA from 1 species
AUUGAACGCUGGCGGCAGGCCUAACACAUGCAAGUCGAACGGUAACAGGAAGAAGCUUGCUUCUUUGCUGACGAGUGGCGGACGGGUGAGUAAUGUCUGGGAAACUCCAUGUUGGAGGGGGGUAACAACUGGAAACGGUAGCGAUAACACCAUAUAGUACCUAGACCAAAAAGGGGGGCCUCCGGGCCCCUUGCGCGCGGAUGUGCCCAGAUGGGAUUAGCUUGUUGGUGGGGUAACGGCUCACCAAGGCGACGAUCCCUAGCUGGUCUGAGAGGAUGACCAGCCACACUGGAACUGAGACACGGUCCAGACUCCUACGGGAGGCAGCAGUGGGGAAUAUUGCACAAUGGGCGCAAGCCUGAUGCAGCCAUGCCGCGUGUAUGAAGAAGGCCUUCGGGUUGUAAAGUACUUUCAGCGGGGAAGAAGGGAGUAAAGUUAAUACCUUUGCUCAUUGACGUUACCCGCAGAAGAAGCACCGGCUAACUCCGUG